rnacentral:rRNA from 1 species
ACUUUGCUUAGAUUCUUCGGAUGAAGAGGAUUGUGACUGAGCGGCGGACGGGUGAGUAACGCGUGGGUAACCUGCCCUGUACAGGGGGACAACAGUUGGAAACGACUGCUAAUACCGCAUAAGCUUACGGUACCGCAUGGUACAGUAAGAAAAACUCCGGUGGUACAGGAUGGGCCCGCGUCUGAUUAGCUGGUUGGCGGUGUAACGGACCACCAAGGCAACGAUCAGUAGCCGACCUGAGAGGGUGAUCGACCACAUUGGGACUGAGACACGGCCCAAACUCC